GGGAAGGUGGCUCAAUGGUAGAGCACUUGCCUCGCAUGCAUGAGGCUCUGGGUUCUAUUCCUCACUCCA
rnacentral:tRNA from 1 species